CCGCCCCACCCUUUUGCGGGUGUGCUUCUGUGUAUAAAGGUAGAGGCCCCAGGUGAGGGGCCAGUGGGUGCAGCCCAACCCCACGCUGAGCUGUUUCACAGCCGGCCCUGCCCUCUCUCCAAGAUGCUGUUUUGGCACAACCAGCCGGAGCAUCUGUGGCCCAGUCCUGGGGAUCUAUACCCUGGGCCCCCCAGCAGCCUGCUCAGGAGGAGCUGCCCAACAUCCCUGGCACGGAGCUGCCCUGCCCCAUGUUCCAGUACGUGCUCUGUGCAGCCACCUCGCCAGCCGUGAAGCAGCAGGAGGAGACCCUCACCUACCUGAACCAGGGCCAGUCCUAUGAGGUCCGGAUGCUCUGCAGCUCCAAGCCGUGUGAUGCCACCCAGUGCCCCCAGCUGCUGAAGAUGUGCCACUGUCCGUGGGAGUGAUAGAACCCCAAGUGCUGCUCUCACAACUCAACAUGGUGGAGUUUCACUGGGACCCAACAAAGAGGACAUCUCUCUUCCUGCAGUUCACACCUUGGAAGAAAGGUGGAGAGAAAGGCAUCCCUUUCCGCCUCCAGAUCGACACCUUCAGGCCCAGUGACAAGGGGCUGCCGCUAGACCACCUGCACUCAGCUGGCUGCCUCAUCAAGGUGUUUAAGGUACAGGCAGCAAUGGGGCCCAUUUUCCUCUCUCUCAGGGCUGUCACCUGGCCUCGCCAGCUGUGUGGGUUCUGGCCCCACGUUGCUGUGGAUCCUCAGCCUGCUGUGCCCCAUCUCUUGGACUGUUUCCUUUUCUGUACACAGAGGGAUGGGGCUUGGUCUCUGUCUCACAGCCAAUCCAACAGAGCCACUGAAGAGAGGCAGGCAGGUAAAGAAAGAGUCUUUGGGCCGGGCGCGGUGGCUCACGCCUGUAAUCCCAGCACUUUGGGAGGCUGAGGUAGGUGGAUCACAAGGUCAAGAGGUCGAGACAAGCCUGGCCAAUAGGGUGAAACCCCGUCUCUACUAAAAAUACAAAAAUUAGCCGGGCGUGUUGGCACGAGCCUGUAAUCCCAGCUACUCCGGAGGCUGAGGCAGGAGAAUCGCUUGAACCCAGGAGGCGGAGGUUGCGGUGAGCUGAGAUCGCGCCACUGCACUCCAACCUGCACAACGGAGCGAGACUGCAGCUCAAAAAAAAAAAAAAANNNNNNNNNNACACCCUCUGCCCAGUCAGAAGUUGUUGAAGCUUCCAGGAGCUGACGCCCUCCAGGCUGCCUGUCCUACGCGGGCCAUCGCCACCUCCUUCCUUGUGUGCUCCCUCUGCCUGGCCCCCUCCUCCUACUGCUGCUCCUCCUGGCCAGCUCCUCCAAGGCCCUUCCUCACUGCCCCAGGCCCGCCGGCUGGUUAACUUCUUCCUUCCUGUGGAAACCCAGUCCACUUGUCAGGCCCCUGGUCAGCUCUUAAUACACAGGUGGAGAGAAGGGAGCAAUGACCAGCAUUGCUGUGUGUUUGCCUGCAGUGUUCGCCAUGGCCGGAGUCCCCUGCAAGGCCCCGGCCACCUCUCAGCUCUCUGGCUCUGACCUCUCCCCACUCCUGCAGGCUCUUGUCCCCAGAAAGGUGAGGCAGGAUGAGCACCUCCUGUCAGCCCUUUGGGGUGAGAGUGAAGAAAAGAGCUCCCAGCCCAGGCAUGGAGCAAAGGGCAGGGCUGGGGAUUGGUGGGGAAUUUGUGGGGUGAGGACAGGAGCAAGCUCUGUGUCCCAGGGCAGGCCUGGAGGAAGGGUGUUGGUGGAGGGAGACUGGCUGUAAUGCUCCGCAGAGUUCUUGAACCUUUGCUCCUCCUCAUAGGCUCUGUUCCUCACCGCCAUUCGCUCUGGACACCUUGGGGUGUAGCCCAGUUGAAGUGAGCCUUCCCCUUCCCACUCCCCACUGUCCCAAAGCCUUCUCCGCAGCUUCAUCUCAAGCUCCAGAAUGGAGUGGCCCUGCCCCCUGGUGGCCAGAUGUGAUAUGGCCAUAGAUUGUAACUUACCUGAUAGGACUGGGCAGGAAGAGCCUCCCUUCUCAGACUUGGGACCUCCCAAGGGAGGGGCUGUUUCCCUUUCUUGUUCUGUCCCUGGGUCCUGGUAUUACCUGGACCAUCCAUUUUAUACCUCAGGAUCUGAACCAUAAAGCCCCCAUCUCAGAGACACAGCAAUGGUUGCAUCAGCACUGGUUCUCCAGCUACUGCUGGAUGCUGGCCAACUUCACUGGUGAGGCUAGUGUCUGGCAGGAGCCAGACCUGUAGGGGACUGAGAGUGGGUGGGACACACAGGCAGGAAGCCUGUCUCUGUCCUGGCUUGUUGUGGGCCCUUCAACUAACCUUUAUUGGGGACUAAGAGUUGCCCAGCAUUGUGCUAGGCUCUCGUCUCACGAAUUAUCCCAUAUAAUUUAUACACUAUUCCUUGAGGACAGUGCCCAGAGAGGUUAAAUAACUUGCCCAAGGACACACAGCUAACAAGUGGCAGAACUGGCAUUUAAAUCCAAGCCUGACUCCCAUAUCUGAGCACACUAGGGCUAUUUGUAGACUAAUAGACUGUGUCCCUUACUUCCCACCCUUGAUCCCAGGCCUCUUUCCUCAGUCUGGCCCUGUCUGACUCUACAGGUCUGGAUCUGCUGAAGCUUACAUGCCAGGACCUUAUCCAAAUCUGCAGGGCUGCUGAUGGGAUCCGCCUUUUCAAUACUCUUAGAGCCAGGUGCUGGGCACUGCCAACCAGGGUCCCCUUCCCACUGUAGUGGCCCUUACUAACUUAGCUAGCAGGUAUGUUUCAUACAAUUUUUUUUUUUUAAUAUGGAGUUUCACUCUUGUUGCCCAGGCUGGAAUGCAGUGGCGCAAUCUUGGCUCACUGCAACCUCUGCCUCAGGUUCAAGUGAUUAUCCUGCCUCAGCCUCCUGAGUAGCUGGGAUUACAGGCAUCUGCCACCAUGCCUGGCCAAUUUUUUUUUUUUUUUUUGAGACGGAGUCUUUUGCCCAGGCCAGACUGCAGUGGCACUAUCUCGGCUCACUGCAAGCUCCGCCUCCUGGGUUCAUGCCAUUUUCCUGCCUCAGCCUCCCGAGUAGCUGGGACUACAGGCGCCUGCCACCGCGCUCGUCUAAUUUUUUGUAUUUUUAGUAGAGACGGGGUUUCACCACGUUCGUCAGGCUGGUCUUGAACUCCUGACCUCAGGUGAUCCACCUGCCUUGGCCUCCCAAAGUGCUGGGAUUACAGGAGUGAGCCACUGCGCCCGGCUCAUACAAUGUUUAAGCCAGAAGUCACCUUAAAGACCACUUAGUCCCACUCCCUCUUUUUACAGAAGAAACUCAGGCCCAAGAAGGACAGUGACCAGUCUGAGGUCACAACCCAAAGCUGGCAGGGCUGGGGUGAAAAGCUAGGCUCCUGUGACCUCCUCCUUCUGUGGCCAUCCCACCUGCCUCAUUCCAUUUCUGGGGAUAGAGAUGUCUGUGGGGUUUUUUCCUCCCCAUUUUUUCUCCCCCUAGUGUCCAGCAUUCGUUAAAUACCUAAGAACUACUUAGUGACCUCCCUCCCUCGAGACCUGGGAGGAGGCUGGGAUCUCUCCUAGGAUGGGGGCUAGACGUGGGAGCUGUUAGUUCAGGUAUAAGACUGAUACAUAGACUGUUUUCCUGGCCCAGGCCCUUCUGUCACCAACUGACUUUGUAUGUGGCUCAGGAGACCUCUAGGCAAGGGAACGAGGUUCCUAAGAACCCUGACUCAGGUGAGGUUCUGGCCUCUCUCUCCAGAACAUAGGAGAUUCAGGUGUAGCUGCAUGAAACCUCUCCCUAGAAGAGGAAUGGUGAUACCCCACCAUUCCUGGGACCCAGGAUGCCCUUCUUGGCAUUUCCCUACCUUCCAUGACCAGAUUAGUCCCUCUCCUUCCAGAAUGUCUCCUUGGGUUUAUUCACCAUGUUCUACUCCUCCACUCCACCUGAUCGUCACUCCAUUAGCAUAUGGGAUUAGAAUAUCAUCUUGUUAUGUACUUGGGUCCCAGUCAUUAAUAUGUGGGUGUCCUAUGUCUUUAAACUGGGGGUUCCCCUCAGACACCUCCCAAAAGAUGAGGGAUGAGAGGUGAAGUAGACUUUUUUCCUUUUUUUUUUUUUUUUUUGAGAUGGAGUCUCACUCUGUUGCCCAGGCUGGAGUGCAGUGGCGCGAUCUCAGCUCACUGCAACUUCUGCCACCCAGGUUGAAGAGAUUCUCCUGCCUCAGCCUCCCAAGUAGUUGGGAUUACAGGAGCCUGCCACCAUGCCCAGCUAAUUUUUGUAGUUUUUAGUAGAGAUGGGGUUUCACCAUCUUGGCCAGGCUGGUCUUGAACUCCUGACCUCGUGAUCCACCCCUCGGCCUCCCAAAGUGCUGGGAUUACAGGCGUGAGCCACCACACCCAGCCAACUUUUCCCUCUUCUCCUCCCCCCACCCCAUAGCCAUCUUCCUGGCACCCCUGGUUUCCUGUGGGCACAUCUCUGGACUCCCUUCCCCUGCUGACCCCUGCCUCUGUGUUGCCCAUGCCCCAAGACUUUUAUCAAGAGAUCUCUCUGGAUGAACUCAGUGCUGUAGAGCUGAUGGGGAAACUGGCUGAGCUCUGGCCAUCCCAGCCAAUCAGAUCCAUCGCCUUUUCCACCAGGGCACUGGGGGCAUCUUCAUUCUCCUCAGUGACCAGAUAAAGGGCAGCCAUUUCCUGUCGCAAGUCCCCACGGAGGCCUCGCUAACACUUCUGCCUCAGAUUAAGCUUUCUUUUCCAUGGCAUGGCUUGUUCUCUUUGGCUCUAAUAACAAAAUUGCCUUUGUGCCCGCUUCACUCUUACAGGUGGUCCAGAAUUUUAAGGACGAAUCAUACUUUGUGGCUGUGGUGAAAAAAGGGAUUUUAGAGGCAGAGGAGUGUGCCUGGCUGGCCCUAUAAAGGGGGAUAAGAGUGUGCUGAGCAUAUAUUCCGUCUCCUAAAUGAGACUAAAAGGCUCUUUGGGGGCCAGGCGCGGUGGCUCAUGCCUGUAAUCCCAGCACUUUGGGAGGCUGAGGCAGGUGGAUCACUUGAGGACAGGAAUUCAAAACCAGCCUGGCCAACAUGGCAAAACCCCAUCUCUAUAAAAAAUACAAAAAACUACCCGGGCGUGCUGGCACGUGCCCGUGGUCCCAGCUACUUGGGAGGCUGAGGCAGGAGAAUCCCUUGAACCCAGGAGGCAGAGGUUGCAGUGAACCGAGAUUGCCCCACUGCACUCCAGCCUGGGUGACAGAGCGAGUCUGUCUCAAACGUCUCAAAAACAAACAAACAAACAAACAAACAAAAACCUCUUUGAAGGGGAUUAAGGGGAUGUGUCCCAAUUAACUAGCAAACAUCUGUGAAUGCCAGCUUUGUGUCAAGGGGAGAGAGAUUUGUAUAGCUAAAAGACAUUUAUUGCUUAGGAAAAACAUGACUGAAUAAAUGCAUCCUCAUUAAAUAAAAAAUGCUCCAGUUUCUGUUGUCAGGGAGUUUAUUAGAGGGAAAAGUAAGGCCCCCACUUUUCUCCACCUGCCCCUGGCAUGAUACAAGGCAGAAGGGCAGGUGCUUCCUGGACAUCAUCUGGCAUAGGGCACCUCUGACUAGUCUGCUUGGCAUCUGGUUAUUCAGAUGUUUGCCUUCCACCCCUCCACAUGCCAGAGCUGGUCAGCUUGGCUUAUGUACACAAGGGGGUAGGAAGAGGUAGAUGUGAAGUUGGGUUUUAAGACACGUGUGGCCUGGCGUGGUGGCUCACACCUGUAACCCCAGCACUUUGGGAGGCCGAGGCGGGCAGAUCAUGAGGUCAGGAGUUCAAGACCAGCCUGGCCAACAUGGUGGAACCCCAUCUCUACUAAAAAUACAAAAAUUAGCCAGGCGUGGUGGCGGGCACUUGUAAUCCCAGCUCCUCGGGAGGCUGAGGCAGGAGAAUCGCUGGAAACCGGGAGGUGGAGGUUGCAGUGAACUAUCGUGCUACUGCACUCCAGCCUGGGUGACAAGCGAAACUUCACCUCAAAAAAAGAAAUAAAACAAAAAAACACUUGGGUGUGCCAGACGCAUUGUAGGCUGCUUGGAGGGUGAGGACCUGACUGGUCCUGCUGGUGCCUUUUUACUGCUUUCGGUGCAGAAUCCAGAUGGCUACUACUUGGUUCUGACCUAGGCCAGGGGAACUCCACUGCUCGAGAGACUGAUAGCUUGUCUUCACCAGAAACCUUGUUAAAACACUUGGCUGACUCAACAGGCUCCAGGUGAGCCAAAGUAUCUUGCAUCUCACCCCGAGAGGAGGCAAGUAGCCUCCAGCUUCACUUUUCUUUCUGGUCAGCAGCAAUGGCUGUUGGAAGUCUUCCUUACCCGUUCAUUCUUCUGAGCUGGCCAAGUUUAUGAGGCAAAAAAAAAAAAACAAACAAACAAAAACAAAAAAACAAAAAAAACUGGCAAUGUAGAAAGAGCUUUUGCCAUGAGCAGUGUUGGCUGGUGAUCACUGAGAGUGUUAAUUCAUUUAAAAAUUUUACUUACGCCCUUUUUAAUUUUUAAAAGGUAUAUACACUUAAUGUGUUGUCCAAUGUGUUGAACAUUUAAUGUGGUGUUCAGUUUUCUUGGCUUUAUUGUCCCCAAGGGGAAAUGUCUUCUGCUUAAACUAUAAACUAGGGCAAAGGAUGGGGUCUGGAACAAGGGAAUAAAUAAAUCCAGCUGGAUCUUUUUUUCACAAUUAGUUUGGGCAAAACUAAUUACUAAAGCCUCCAAAAGACCAUUCAAUAUUCAAAUCACUGUACCUACUAAAAAACUCAGUUCUAAGAGAUUUAGGAAAUACUAUAGCUAUUCUCUAGAAUUGAGGCUAUGGGGCUUUUAGAAAAAAAAAUUUAGACAUAUUGUUUCCUUAGUUUUAAGAGAUGAGGUCUCUGUUGUCCAGACUGGUCUUGAACUCUUGGUGUCAAGUGAUCCUUCCAUCUAAACUCUCAGUAGCUGGGAUUAUAGGUGUGCAC
rnacentral:lncRNA from 1 species